rnacentral:rRNA from 1 species
UAGGGAAUAUUGCAAAAUGGGCGAAAGCCCGAUGCAGCAACGCCGCGUGCGCGAUGAAGGCCUUCGGGUCGUAAAGCGCUUUUUAGAGGGAUGAGGAAGGACAGUACCUCUAGAAUAAGUCUCGGCUAACUACGUGCCAGCAGCCGCGGUAAAACGUAGGAGGCAAGCGUUAUUCGGAUUUACUGGGCGUAAAGCGCGUGCAGGCGGUUUGGUAAGUUGGAUGUGAAAGCUCCUGGCUCAACUGGGAGAGGUCGUUCAAUACUACCAGACUAGAGGGCGGUAGAGGAAGGCGGAAUUCCGGGUGUAGUGGUGAAAUGCGUAGAUAUCCGGAGGAACACCAGUGGCGAAAGCGGCCUUCUGGACCGAUCCUGACGCUCAGACGCGAAAGCUAGGGUAGCAAACGG